rnacentral:rRNA from 1 species
UACGUAGGCAGCAAGCGUUGUUCGGAGUUACUGGGCGUAAAGGGUGUGUAGGCGGUCUUCUAAGUUUGGUGUGAAAUCUCCCGGCUCAACUGGGAGGGUGCGCCGAAAACUGGGAGGCUAGAGUACUGGAUGGGAGAGUGGAAUUCCUGGUGUAGCGGUGAAAUGCGCAGAUAUCAGGAGGAACACCAAUUGCGAAGGCAGCUCGCUGGGACGUUACUGACGCUGAGACGCGAAAGCGUGGGGAGCAAACAGG